rnacentral:rRNA from 1 species
AUGCGGUUGCUGCUCCGCCUCCGCCUCGACGGCGUGCGCGGUGCCCGGGAGUACCGCAGGAGGGUCACGCGGCGCGUGCUCGCGCUCCAGGACGCAGUCGACGCGCUCGAGGCCGCGCCCGCGGUGGUGACCGCCGAUGCGUCAGACGUUCAGGAUGAAGAGGACGAAUUAGAGGAUGGGAUGGAGCCGGAGUUGCCGGUUGAAGAUGACACCGCAGCGGAUCCUCUGGCUAUCGAGACAACCGACACGGCGGCGAUGGAGGUUGAUGCUGUGAGUCCCUUCGUUGUCAACGAGGCCGGCCAGACCGAGACCGAACUGGUCUCCGAAGUGGAGAAGGACUCGGAGGAGGAGGGCGAGUGGGAGAUGGUGGCCACGGGGGACGGCGACGUGUCCACCGACGAGGAGGACCCUGCACCGCUCAAGGCGCUGCAGCAGCAGCAAGAACAGGCACAGGAGGAGAAGAAGACGGUGACCACCGACGGGCUGGAUGCAAAGAAGUUGAUGGGGAUGGUGGUGACGCUGUGCGAGCGGAGCGCGCAGGAGUGCGCCCUCAUCGGGGCCCUGGCGAAGCGGGUGGACACGCUGGAGCGCGCCGUCCGGCGAGUGGAGGUGGCCGACCGACGCAGGGGGAGGAACAAGAAGACCAACAAGGAUGGCGAGAAGAACACAACAGCGACUAGAUAUCAUAAAUAG